CUUACAUUCUCCUCUAUAAGAAGACUGGCUUCAUGAUUACAAGUGCAGGUCAGAUACUGUGCACCCUGAUCUGGGCUGAAAAGGGAAUCCAUGACCAGGCUUUGGUGUGGACAUGGGGGUGAUAGGCUGUCAGACAGCUGUCCACGUGCCCCAGGGAGCUGUGUGAAGCAGAGUGACAGAGCUUCCUAUGGGUAGGAGACAGUAUGGAGAUCGUGGGAAUUGUCUUAUGUUGCCAUCCUUUGCCGGAAUCACAGGUUGGAGCCCUGGGAGCAGUAAAAAAAUUCUGGAGCCCACCAGAUCCUCACCAGUUGACACUCAGCCCGGCGUGACCACAAAUGACACAAUUCCUGCUUCCAGCCCACGGUACAUUCUGGGCAGCCUCUACUUAUGCAUCCUGGUGUUUCUGGAGUUGCCCCUGUUCCUGUGCAUGCUCUGUGCCGUCCUGUGGGUGAACAGGCCUCAGACGUGGUCUGGGAGACAAGGCAUUCAGCCCUAUUAUGAGAACCAGUGAAGUCUGUUGACAUGGAGGCCCUGUCCCUGGAUGCAUCACUCUGGUGGCCAAGGACAACCAGUAAACCUGUGUUCUUGAGAAUGCUCUGACACUCUGCACGUGUCAAACACAUAAAGAAUGUGCCCUAGGGGCUGGGGAUUUAGCUCAGUGGUAGAGCGCUUACCUAGGAAGCGCAAGGCCCUGGGUUCGGUCCCCAGCUCCGAAAAAAAGAACCAAAAAAAAAAAAAAAAAAAAGAAUGUGCCCUACAUAUACUGGCUGGAGAGAUGGCUCUGAGGUUAAGAGCACCGGCUGCUCUUCCAGAGGUUCUGAGUUCAAAUCCCAGUAACAACAUGGUGGCUCACACCCACCUGCAAUAGGAACUGAUGCCCUCUUCUGGUGUGCAGGUGCACAUGCAGAUAGUACACUCAUAUAGUAAAUAAAUUAAUUAUAAUUAAAUAAAUAGACUUAUAGUACAGUACCUUUACUUAUUCUUUGGUAAGUUCACAUUUGUGUACAACAUGACUCUAUCAUGUACACCUGCGUCCCCACCCUCCCAC
rnacentral:lncRNA from 1 species